rnacentral:misc_RNA from 1 species
AAAAUUAAUUUUUUUUCCUUAAUGAGCGCCGUCCAAAGAAAAACCUCAAGCCCUUUUAAUGCUUUUAAACUCCGUUGUCACUUUCUGUGAAAUUAGGGUUUCAACCUUUCCCCCACAAAAUUUGUGCUUGCAACCUAACUUUCUGGAUUAUGUCCUUAUUAUCGUUCUGGCGAUCGGGAGAGGCGAGAGUUAGAAAGAGCUGAUAGGGGAAGUAGAAAGCCUAGUGUUCCUUACCUAACUCCUUCAAGACUCAUCGACUUUUUGAAGCUUCGUUGUUUUAUUGGCUCAUUUACGAGAUAAGAGGAUCUGAUUCCACAGUUUAUAUUUCUGGUUGUUUUCCAUAAAGGUUUGUGGGGCAAGAUGAUUUAUAUGAUAGUAUUUUAACGCAUAGAUGUGCUGAAGGUUAUGAGAUUGUAUUUUGUAUAUGGUGGUAACAGUUCUGUUUUUUGUAGUAGAAAGGGUUCGAGCAAAAUUGCUUUGUUUAAAGGGUUAAGAUGCCAUCUACAUAUUUUUCAAGAUUAAGAACUGCAGUACAGAAUGAAAUUUCGUGUUCGAUUAUAGGGAAAGAGUGUAGGCUCCAAGAUUUAACUGAAACUCUAGUCGGCCAGGCAAAGUCUCGGUUUUACAGUUAUAGAUUAUUUCAUUCUGCACGAAUUGUUUCGCUUGAAGACAUACAUGCACUUUUGAGACCUGGUACUCUUGUUGCUGCUCAAUUUGAUUCGCAAUUAGUUAAUCGUAGAAGGAAUAUCUCUGUUGUUGGAGCACUUUCUCGCACAUUUUCUGUACCUUCUGUAUCAGGCCCUUCAGUUCAGGUUUGUGGGUAUCACAUUGACCGCGCCCUUUGUCAUACUAGUCAAACACCAGGCAGUGGGAAAUUGCAGAAUAAGCUAAUGGCCACCUGUACGUCCAGGGCUAUAAUUGAAUAUUUCCAGGAGAAUCUAACUUCAAGGGGUGGGCAUCUUCCAUUUUCAACCAACAAAGCCAGCAUCUCUUAUGACAGUAGAAGUUCCCAGAGUUACAGAAAUGUCAGUAUGAGUUUGAAGAACAGAAAGCAAUCCACCGAUUCUCCCAUUUAUGGAUAUUUUGGCUACAAUAUCAUGAAGAAAUGGUGUGACUUUUCUCCAUACAUAGAGACAGGAUCUAGAUAUUUCCACAGCUCAACUCCUUCAUGUUUGUCAGCUGGAACUGCACCUGAUAUAACCUUUGAGAAUUCUGCCCAUGAGGAACAGCUUGAAACUUCUGCAGUUUCCUCAGAACAGAAGAGUUCUGCUGGCAAAACACUGAAGCUAAUCUCAGGAUCUUGCUACCUGCCCCAUCCUGAUAAGGAAGAAACAGGGGGAGAGGAUGCUCAUUUCAUUUGUUCAAAUGAACAAGCAAUAGGUGUGGCUGACGGUGUUGGUGGUUGGGCAGAUCUUGGCAUUGAUGCAGGGCAGUAUUCUCGUGAACUUAUGUCUAAUUCAGUAUCUGCUAUUCAACAGGAACCCAAAGGUUUAAUUGACCCAGCAAGGGUCUUAGAGAAAGCUCACUCUAGCACAAAAGCCAAGGGUUCCUCAACAGCCUGUAUCAUAGCACUCACAGAUGAGGUAUGACAUUUUCAUUUUGAUAUCCUUUAGUUUCAGUAUCUGCACUGCCAGUUUGUGAUGAUGAAUAGCUUUUUGGAAUAACUGUGAGUCUUGGAGUAUAUCAUCUCUUUUUAGUCAUGGUGAAGACUAUGCAGCCUUUUCUUUAGUUUGAGAAAAUCCUUAGAUUUGUUAUUUUGUUAAAUUACUAAAUGGAGUUGGGCACGUUGAGCCCCAUUCUUCAUCUUGUCCUACUUUGCAUAAUCAUAUGCCUCUUUAAUUCUUGCAUUUGUUUUCAUCCUCAUUGAUAUUUCUGCUUAAUUUUACUACAAUUAUUUAUUAUGGUAGUGGAAAUUCCUUAUCAUUACCUGAUUUAUAGGAACUCAAUUUCAGUUGAUGUCAUCUAUUUAGGAAUUCAGUAUUACAUUUUCAUAAAAAUACUAUACCUCUUAAUUCACCAUAACAGUUAUGGCUUGUGGUGGCUUGAUGAACUUGAAAGGGAACUUUAUUACUUCCUACCUUGUUGAUAUGUGGGCAUUUUCUAACUUGUUUCUCCUUUUGAUUUGAUUUCACAUUCAAAUUUUACUUGUCUAUUCAUGACAACUUCCAAUUUAAUGCUACUCCACACUUCCACAUAGUGAGACUUCUGGUUGUUCACUUUCUUGAAAGUUGAAACAAGAUAUUAUUACUGAAUUAUUAGCAAAAAAUGUUGAUAUUUUUUAGGGUCUCCACGCUAUCAAUUUAGGGGAUAGUGGUUUUAUAGUGGUUCGAGAUGGAUGCACUGUAUUCCGCUCUCCUGUGCAGCAGCAUGAUUUUAAUUUCACCUAUCAACUAGAGAGUGGAAACAAUGGUGAUCUACCUAGCUCUGGUCAGGUUUUUACAAUUGCUGUUGCUCCUGGGGAUGUUAUAGUUGCUGGAACAGAUGGUUUGUUUGACAACUUGUACAACAAUGAGAUUAAUGCAGUGGUGGUUCAUGCGACAAGAGCUGCCUUAGGGCCUCAGGUGACAGCACAGAAAAUAGCUGCAUUGGCACGACAACGAGCACAAGAUAAAGACAGGCAAACCCCAUUUUCCACUGCUGCCCAAGAUGCUGGAUUUCGCUAUUAUGGUGGCAAGCUUGAUGACAUUACUGUUGUUGUUUCAUAUAUUGCCAGUUCUGAAGAUGUACGACUCCCUAUCUCAAGCAUGUUUACACUUGCUAUUCUUUAUAAUUUCUUUUCCAGAUGCAACUCUAAUUUUCUUUUGCCUGGUUAAUGAUUCUAGUUUAGCAUGGUUGGCAGUUAGCACUAGAGAAAUAUGUAGAGCCAUGUGUUCUGUUUCACCUAAAUUUCAGUGUUGCAUGCUCAUUACUGUCUAUCGCAAAUAACUCCAAGUAACUGGGUUUUUUAUGUUGUAAUAAUUUUUAUGAUGCUCAAAAUGUUUCAUGCAUGCUCUUUAUCUGCCUUAAGCAAUAUGGAUUUCUUUUAUGUUGCGAAUGCUAAUGUCCUUCUGUUUCAAAUUAUGUAGGAACAGCAAUCUUCAUAAUUAUCUCUCCCUUCUUAAGGAUUUGCAUGGAUCCAGUUUUGUUGAUAGGAAAAUCAAUUCGUAUGCUGUGGGCAUCGGAUUUUGUUGAGCUUUGAACGUUGAUCGAAGGUGCUUUCUACAGUCAAAAGUACAGUUGAUGUAAAUAGUUAUUUCCUUAUCUAUUAUGGUUUAUUAUUUUGCCGCUAAAGACAACAGACGGGCUUGCUGGACCAUGUGCAAUUCCAGCUACUGCCAACGGGAUUAGUUGAAUUAAUUAAUAAUAGUUUCUAAGUCAUUUUGAUUGUGUGGGAUACUGUUUUAGUUGCAAAUUAAACUUUUGUUCAUAUUAUUU